rnacentral:rRNA from 1 species
AGCAGCCGCGGUAAUUCCAGCUCCAAUAGCGUAUAUUAAAGUUGUUGCAGUUAAAAAGCUCGUAGUUGAAUUUCAGGCCUGGCUGGACGGUCCGCCCUUCGGGUGAGUACUGUCUGUGGUCGGGUCCUACCUUCUGGCGAAGCGUCAUGGCCUUAACCGGCCGUGGCGGGGAACCAGGACUUUUACUGUGAAAAAAUUAGAGUGUUCAAAGCAGGCAAUCGCUUGGAUACAUUAGCAUGGAAUAAUGGAAUAGGACAAUGGUUCUAUUUGUUGGUUUCUAGGACCGUUGUAAUGAUUAAUAGGGAUAGUUGGGGGCAUUAGUAUUCAAUUGUCAGAGGUGAAAUUCUUGGAUUUAUUGAAGACUAACUACUGCGAAAGCAUUUGCCAAGGAUGUUUUCAUUAACCAAGAACGAAAGUUAGGGGAUCGAAGACGAUCAGAUACCGUCGUAGUCUUAACCAUAAACUAUGCCGACUAGGAAUCGGGCGAUGUUGACAAAAUGACGCGCUCGGCACCUCAUGG